AUAAAGUUUUAUUUUGGCUUAAGAGAUUGUUAUUAAAUUAUUUUAUAUGUAAAUUUUUGUGUGAUUUAUUAUUUAUUUUAAAAAUAAUUAAUUUUUAUUUAAUUGCAGUAAUUAAUUUUAUUAUUUAAAGAAAUUUAGAAAUAGUAAUUUUUUAAAGUAUUGGUUAAAUUUGUGCCAGCUGCCGCGGUUAUACAAAUAAUACAAAUAAUCUUUUAUUUAGUUUAAUUAAAUUAAUUUUUUUAAGGUGUAAAUAAAUUUAUUAGGUGAAAUUUAUAAAUUUAUUAAUAAUUUAUGUUUUAAUUAUUGAAGUUAAAAAAUUUUAAAUAAAAACUAGGAUUAGAUACCCUAUUAUUUAAAAUGUAAAUAAAAAUAUAUAGGUAGUAAUAGUUAUGUUCUUGAAACUUAAAAAAUUUGGCGGUAUUUUAGUCUAUUCAGAGGAACUUGUUUUAUAAUCGAUAAUCCACGUUGGACCUUACUUAAAUUUGUUUAGCAAUUUAUAUACCGUUGUUAUAAGAAUAUUUUAUAAGAAUAAUAAUUUUCAAAAAUUUUCAUUAAAAUAUAUAUCAGAUCAAGGUGUAGUUUAUGUUUAAGUAAAAAUGAGUUACAAUUUGUUUAUAAUUGGAAGUAAAUAUGAAAAAUUUAUUGAAAUUGGAUUUGAAAGUAAAUUUAUAUAGAUUAAUAAAUUGAUUUUAGCUCUAAAAUAUGCACAUAUCGCCCGUCGCUCUUAUUUCUAAAAUAAGAUAAGUCGUAACAUAGUAGAUGUACUGGAAAGUGUAUCUAGAAUGCA
rnacentral:ncRNA from 1 species